rnacentral:rRNA from 1 species
GAGUUUGAUUAUGGCUCAGGAUGAACGCUAGCUAUAGGCUUAACACAUGCAAGUCGAGGGGCAGCGAGGGUGAAGUUUUCUUUACCUGUCGGCGACCGGCGCACGGGUGCGUAACGCGUAUCCAAUCUACCCAUUACUCUAGGAUAGCCUUGCGAAAGUAAGAUUAAUACUGGAUGGUCUUAUUAGUCUGCCUGGACUUUUAAGUAAAGAUUUAUUGGUAAUGGAUGAGGAUGCGUCCCAUUAGCUUGUUGGCGGGGUAAUGGCCCACCAAGGCUUCGAUGGGUAGGGGUUCUGAGAGGAAGAUCCCCCACACUGGAACUGAGACACGGUCCAGACUCCUACGGGAGGCAGCAGUGAGGAAUAUUGGUCAAUGGACGGAAGUCUGAACCAGCCAAGUAGCGUGCAGGAUGACGGCCUUCUGGGUUGUAAACUGCUUUUAUAUGAGAGUAAAGUCGGCCACG